rnacentral:rRNA from 1 species
ACGGGAGUAGAACCAACAGGGAUUGCCCCAGUAACGGCGAGUGAAGCGGCAACAGCUCAAAUUUGAAAUCUGGCCCCCGGGUCCGAGUUGUAAUUUGCAGAGGAUGCUUCGGGCGAGGUGCCUUCCGAGUUCCCUGGAACGGGACGCCACAGAGGGUGAGAGCCCCGUCUGGUCGGACACCGAGCCCGUGUGAAGCUCCUUCGAAGAGUCGAGUAGUUUGGGAAUGCUGCUCAAAAUGGGAGGUAUAUGUCUUCUAAAGCUAAAUAUUGGCCAGAGACCGAUAGCGCACAAGUAGAGUGAUCGAAAGAUGAAAAGCACUUUGAAAAGAGGGUUAAAAAGUACGUGAAAUUGUUGAAAGGGAAGCGCCCAUGACCAGACUUGGGCCCGGUGAAUCACCCGGCGUUCUCGCCGGUGCACUUUGCCGGGCACAGGCCAGCAUCAGUUUGGCGCGGGGGACAAAGGCUUCGGGAACGUGGCUCCCUCGGGAGUGUUAUAGCCCGCUGCGUAAUACCCUGCGCCGGACUGAGGUACGCGCAUCGCAAGGAUGCUGGCGUAAUGGUCAUCAGCGACCCGUCUUGAAACACGGACCAAGGAGUCGUCUUCGUAUGCGAGUGUUCGGGUGUCAAACCCCUACGCGGAAUGAAAGUGAACGCAGGUGAGAGCUUCGGCGCAUCAUCGACCGAUCCUGAUGUUCUCGGAUGGAUUUGAGUAAGAGCAUACGGGGCCGGACCCGAAAGAAGGUGAACUAUGCCUGUAUAGGGUGAAGCCAGAGGAAACUCUGGUGGAAGCUCGCAGCGGUUCUGACGUGCGAAUCGAUCGUCAAAUAUGGGCAUGGGGGCGAAAGACUAAUCGAACCUUCUAGUAGCUGGUUUCCGCCGAG